GAUGAAGAACGUAGCGAAAUGCGAUACGUAAUGUGAAUUGCAGAAUUCAGUGAAUCAUCGAAUCUUUGAACGCAUAUUGCGCUCUCUGGUAUUCCGGAGAGCAUGCUUGUUUGAGUAUCAGUAAACACCUCAACUUCCAUAUCUUUUUUGAAAUGGGAGUUGGACUUGAGUGAUCCCAACGCUUUUCCUCACCGAAAAGUGGCGGGUUACUUGAAAUGCAGGUGCAGCUGGACUUUUCUCUGAGCUAUAAGCAUAUCUAUUUAGUCUGCCUAAAAACAGUUUAUUACCUUUGCUGCAGCUAACAUAAAGGAGAUUAGUUCUUGUGCUGACUGAUGCAGGAUUCACAAAGACAGGCUUCGGCCGACUUUGUAAACUCGAUCUCAGAUCAAGUAAGACUACCCGCUGAACUUAAGCAUAUCAAUAAGCGGAGGA
rnacentral:misc_RNA from 1 species